rnacentral:rRNA from 1 species
GACGAACGCUGGCGGCGUGCUUAACACAUGCAAGUCGAACGGAAAGGCCCUGCUUUUGUGGGGUGCUCGAGUGGCGAACGGGUGAGUAACACGUGAGUAACCUGCCCUUGACUUUGGGAUAACUUCAGGAAACUGGGGCUAAUACCGGAUAGGAGCUCCUGCUGCAUGGUGGGGGUUGGAAAGUUUCGGCGGUUGGGGAUGGACUCGCGGCUUAUCAGCUUGUUGGUGGGGUAGCGGCUUACCAAGGCUUUGACGGGUAGCCGGCCUGAGAGGGUGACCGGCCACAUUGGGACCGAGAUACGGCCCAGACUCCUACGGGAGGCAGCAGUGGGGAAUAUUGCACAAUGGGCGGAAGCCUGAUGCAGCAACGCCGCGUGCGGGAUGACGGCCUUCGGGUUGUAAACCGCUUUCGCCUGUGACGAAGCGUGAGUGACGGUAAUGGGUAAAGAAGCACCGGCUAACUACGUG